rnacentral:rRNA from 1 species
CCUACGGGUGGCAGCAGUCGGGAAUAUUGCGCAAUGGAGGAAACUCUGACGCAGUGACGCCGCGUGCAGGAAGAAGGCUUUCGGGUUGUAAACUUCUUUAGACAGGGAAGAAAAAAGUCACUAUCUGUAGAAUAUGCUCCGCCUAACUACGCGCCAGCAGCCGCGGUAAUACGUAGGGGGCAAGCGUUAUCUGGAUUUAUUGGGUGUAUAGGGUGCGUAGACGGAGAAGCACGUGAGAUGUGAAAACCCUCGGCUUAACCGCGGGACUGCAACUGAAACUGCUUGCCUUGAGUGCUGGAGAGGAAAGUGGAAUUCCGGGUGUAGCGGUGAAAUGCGUAGAUAUUAGGAGGAACACCAGUGGCGAAGGCGGAUUUCUGGACAGUAACUGACGUUGAGGCGCGAAAGUGUGGGGAGCAAACAGGAUUAGAUACCCGGGUAGUC